ensembl:snoRNA Gm23131 small nucleolar RNA SNORA17
UCUGCCUGUAGAGGCACUGCAGGUACGGCUUCUCCAUGACGUGUGUGUCAGUAAGUGGCAGGAAGGAGAGAGGCUAUGUCUGCAUUCAAUGUUCUGACCUAUGAACACAGGAUUGAAUAGAAGCCUAACAGA